UUGAAAGGGAAACGAUUGAAGUCAGUCGUACCGACGAGAAAUCAGCUUAUCGUGUGUUAACUUGUGGGCGUGCGUGAGUUUCGGCCUCGCUGUUUGCAUGUUUGUGCGCUUUGGGUGUACUUUUUCGUAUGGUUGGCCAACAUCAGUUUCGAUUACUAUAAAAUGACUGGCGGAAUGUAGCUUCGAUUUCGGUUGAAGUGUUAUAGCCUCUGGUAGAUGUGGUGAUUGGGACUGAGGAUUGCAACGAAUAUCCUUUGGGCUAUCCGUCUGGCCUCUGAAGGUUGCUUGGGUGCUGAAAGCUUGCUUAUGGUUAUCUAAGUUAACGGUCAAUAGGUUAGAACGCGAUUACAUUCGUUAAGGAUGUUGACGUA
rnacentral:rRNA from 1 species